UGAUGAUGAUGAUGAUGAUGAUGAUGAUGAUGAUGAUGAUGAUGAUGUUAAUAUGUUAGAAAUUGUCAUCAUCAUCAUCUUCAUUGCCAUUAUCCUUGUUA
rnacentral:pre_miRNA from 1 species